UACGUAGGGUGCAAGCGUUGUCCGGAAUUAUUGGGCGUAAGGAGCUCGUAGGCGGUUUGUCGCGUCUGGUGUGAAAAUCCAGGGCUUAACCCUGGACCUGCAUCGGGGUACGGGCAGACUAGAGUGCGGUAGGGGAGAUCGGAAUUCCUGGUGUAGCGGUGAAAUGCGCGAUAUCAGGAGGAACACCGGUGGCGAAGGCGGAUCUCUGGGCCGUAACUGACGCUGAGGAGCGAAAGCAUGGGGAGCGAACAGG
rnacentral:rRNA from 1 species